UAGUCCACGCCGUAAACGAUGAGCACUAGGUGUCGGGGUCGCAAGACUUCGGUGCCGCAGUUAACGCAUUAAGUGCUCCGCCUGGGGAGUACGCACGCAAGUGUGAAACUCAAAGGAAUUGACGGGGACCCGCACAAGCAGCGGAGCAUGUGGUUUAAUUCGAAGCAACGCGAAGAACCUUACCAGGACUUGACAUCCUUCUGACAGAUCCUUAAUCGGAUCCUUCUUCGGACAGAAGUGAC
rnacentral:rRNA from 1 species